CRWYGGGGKUCUAUMAUGCAGUCGACGAACUCUGGUAUUGAUUGGUGCUUGCAUCAUGAUUUACAUUUGAGUGAGUGGCGAACUGGUGAGUAACACGUGGGAAACCUGCCCAGAAGCGGGGGAUAACACCUGGAAACAGAUGCUAAUACCGCAUAACAACUUGGACCGCAUGGUCCGAGCUUGAAAGAUGGCUUCGGCUAUCACUUUUGGAUGGUCCCGCGGCGUAUUAGCUAGAUGGUGGGGUAACGGCUCACCAUGGCAAUGAUACGUAGCCGACCUGAGAGGGUAAUCGGCCACAUUGGGACUGAGACACGGCCCAAACUCCUACGGGAGGCAGCAGUAGGGAAUCUUCCACAAUGGACGAAAGUCUGAUGGAGCAACGCCGCGUGAGUGAAGAAGGGUUUCGGCUCGUAAAACUCUGUUGUUAAAGAAGAACAUAUCUGAGAGUAACUGUUCAGGUAUUGACGGUAUUUAACCAGAAAGCCACGGCUAACUACGUGCCAGCAGCCGCGGUAAUACGUAGGUGGCAAGCGUUGUCCGGAUUUAUUGGGCGUAAAGCGAGCGCAGGCGGUUUUUUAAGUCUGAUGUGAAAGCCUUCGGCUCAACCGAAGAAGUGCAUCGGAAACUGGGAAACUUGAGUGCAGAAGAGGACAGUGGAACUCCAUGUGUAGCGGUGAAAUGCGUAGAUAUAUGGAAGAACACCAGUGGCGAAGGCGGCUGUCUGGUCUGUAACUGACGCUGAGGCUCGAAAGUAUGGGUAGCAAACAGGAUUAGAUACCCUGGUAGUCCAUACCGUAAACGAUGAAUGCUAAGUGUUGGAGGGUUUCCGCCCCUUCAGUGCUGCAGCUAACGCAUUAAGCAUUCCGCCUGGGGGAGUACGGGCCGCAAGGCUGAAACUCCAAAGGGAAUUGACGGGGGGGCCCGCACAAGCGGUGGGAGCAUGGUGGGUUUYUAAUUYCGAARGCUACGCGAAGAARCCUUACCAGGUCUUGGACCAUUACUAUGGCAAAUCUUAAGCAGAUUAGACGUUCCCUUCCGGGCCACAUGUAUACCAGGGUGGUUGCCAAUGGRUUGGUCGUCAGACUUACGGMUGGCYCG
rnacentral:rRNA from 1 species